UACCAGCACCCCGAGUGGUCGGGACGAUUAUUGGGCCUAAAGCAUCCGUAGCCGGUUCUACAAGUCUUCCGUUAAAUCCAACUGCUUAACAGUUGGGCUGCGGAGGAUACUAUAGAGCUAGGAGGCGGGAGAGGCAAGCGGUACUUAGUGGGUAGGGGUAAAAUCCGUUGAUCCACUGAAGACCACCAGUGGCGAAGGCGGCUUGCCAGAACGCGCUCGACGGUGAGGGAUGAAAGCUGGGGGAGCAAACCGGAUUAGAAACCCUAGUAGUCC
rnacentral:rRNA from 1 species